rnacentral:rRNA from 1 species
AUUGAACGCUGGCGGCAGGCCUAACACAUGCAAGUCGAGCGGAUGAAGGGAGCUUGCUCCUGGAUUUAGCGGCGGACGGGUGAGUAAUGCCUAGGAAUGUGCCAGGUAGUGGGGGAUAACGUCCGGAAACGGGAGCUAAUACCGCAUACGUCCUGUGGGAGAAAGUGGGGGAUCUUCGGACCUCACGCGAUCAGAUGAGCCUAGGUCGGAUUAGCUAGUUGGUGGGGUAAAGGCCUACCAAGGCGACGAUCCGUAACUGGUCUGAGAGGAUGAUCAGUCACACUGGAACUGAGACACGGUCCAGACUCCUACGGGAGGCAGCAGUGGGGAAUAUUGGACAAUGGUCGAAAGCCUGAUCCAGCCAUGCCGCGUGUGUGAAGAAGGUCUUCGGAUUGUAAAGCGCUUUAAGUUGGGAUGAAGGUCAGUAAGUUAAUACCUUGCUGUUUUGACGUUACCAACAGAAUAAGCACCGGCUAACUUCGUG